rnacentral:rRNA from 1 species
UGGGGAAUAUUGGACAAUGGGCGAAAGCCUGAUCCAGCCAUGCCGCGUGAGUGAUGAAGGCCCUAGGGUUGUAAAGCUCUUUCACCGGUGAAGAUAAUGACGGUAGCCGGAGAAGAAGCCCCGGCUAACUUCGUGCCAGCAGCCGCGGUAAUACGAAGGGGGCUAGCGUUGUUCGGAAUUACUGGGCGUAAAGCGCACGUAGGCGGAUUGUUAAGUCGGGGGUGAAAUCCCGGGGCUCAACCCCGGAACUGCCUUCGAUACUGGCAAUCUAGAGUCCGGAAGGGGUGAGUGGAAUUCCGAGUGUAGAGGUGAAAUUCGUAGAUAUUCGGAGGAACACCAGUGGCGAAGGCGGCUCACUGGUCCGGUACUGACGCUGAGGUGCGAAAGCGUGGGGAGCAAACA